GGCUGUCAUAGAGGCUAGACUCAACUGCCAUGUUAGGAUGAUGGAUGAAGACUAGGAGCUUUAGAGAAGGGUAAAAACAGCGUUAAUUUGUGGCUGGUGUACAUAGCUUCAGCCAAACAAAAACUUCACAGAAAUAAAACAGGCAGGACGGGAAUGGAUCAAGAACAGAGAUAGAAUUAGGAAUCAUGGAAAACUGCAAAAAAAAAAAAAAAGGUAAAGGAGAGGCUGAAGCGCAGACAUCAGCAGAAUGUGUCCCUAUCACCUAAGGAAUCAGAAGAGGAUAGACCUGGCACCCCUGAACAAGAAGUGAUGGAAGAGAGCCCCUAGCUGGAGAAGAAGGUGCCCAGAGGGAUCCAUGUUUACUCAGCUUAUCAACUCAAACCUGCUGUGGGGUUGUGAGUCUUUGACUGUCAUUUACUGUGGUCAUAUCAAGGUCAAAAGGUAAGGAGUUUUCUUCAUGGUAGCAAACAAUACUUGAUGACUAUAAUUUAAGAAACUUGAACUGCUUUUGCCCAACUAUUUCUACAUUUGUGGGGUGUGUGUGUGUGUGUGUGUGUGUGUGUGUGUUUGUGUGUGUGACAUGUACGUGUGUGUGUGUGCAUGUGUUUUCCUUUUGAAAAUGUUAGUGCAGGUCUUGACUAAGCUUAGACUUAAGGGUCAAUAAAUUUCUCUAUGAAUUGAUCAAUGGAGAAAUCCGGGAGUUUAUAGCACUUUGGUAAGGGAGAUAAAAUAGUUUCAGCAUACCUGCCCAUUCCCUUUCCAUGAACACAAGACUGAAGCUGGAGUUUGAGAAAAAGCUACUGAUGGAAAGCUUGAAAAAUGGUCUCUAACAAUUUGAAAUCUGGAGCCAAGCCAACAUUCUUAAAGAUAAUAACAGACCAGGAGGCAGUUGGCAGAAAUUUAGCAUCCCCCGUGUGUGUGUGUGUGUGUGUGUGUGUGUUUAAGUUGGGUAGCCAAAGGAAUGUAGUUAAUGUUUACUGUGUGCCAGUCUUCUAAAAUUCCUUAGGUAGACUAUUUCAUUAUAACUUAAUUUAUCCUUCAGUAUCCCUAAAGGAGGUAGUUUGACUCCUGUUUUACACAUGGGGAAACUGAGGUACAAAGGGCAUACCUAAUUUGCUCAUGGUUGAGAGCUGACCCCAAGCCUACAUUCUUUCUGGGUUUAGGGAAGACCUGGUAUGACCUCACACGGUAUCGAAGCAGAUCAGUUCAGUCUCCAUUUGGAAAGUGUGGGAGGGUAAAGUAAAGGUGUUUAGGGGAAGUCAUUUAGGAUCUCUCAGCUGAUCAACAAGUGAUAUUAGUUUGUUCCUUUAUUUCAGCCUGUGGUUUUGUCCUCAGAUGGACAAUUCCUCUCUGAGAAGGAAAGAGGGGUAGUAGGAGGCAAGCAACCCACAUGGAAACAGGAGCUGUGGAGUUGGCAUUGGUAUAGACAUUUCACUUUCAUCUAGAAUUACAUUGGCUUAUUUUUUAAAAAUAAAAUUAAUACAAAUUUUAAAAUUUGUAAAGAUGAAUUAAAGUAACUUAGAUAAUUUUGCUGAGGCAAGGAGGCUAUGAAAUUGGAACCAUUUGCCAAGAUAGGGAAUACAUUUGAUUUCCUUCCUAAAGGAAUCCUAAAAUGAAAACAGUCUGGUUUGUGUAUUUCCCAGAUCAAGGUGGAGUCUAGGUAAGAUAAUACAAUAAGUGAAGGGUAUGCUGACCCAGAAUACAGGAGAACAAGUGUAGCCCUGUGUCGAAAACUCUCAGUCUUGGUUUCCCUUCUGUAAAAUAAACCUGCUGUGUUAUAUCUAAAGUUCUUCCAAUGGAAAGAAUCUUCUUUGCAAGUUGGUUGCAAAGAACACACAUAACAAGUAUUUCUGAGCAAAAGGAUAGCGAAAACUUUUCCAUGUACAGCUUUCCAGUGUGUAUCUGGCUAUACCUCUCACUAGCUGCAGUGCAGAAGCCCAAAGAAGGAGCCCACCUUCUUUAUGAAAUGGUAUGUGGAAUUGCUGCCCUUGGAUGGAGGCGAUCAGUGGCUACAAGGUAUUGGUGAGAGUGCAUCUUCCUAGAAAGGCUUCCCUCCUAGCAUGAACAAAGAACUUGUGAAACCAGAGUUCUGAAAUGAGACUAAAUUCCCUGCUUUGCCAAUUUCCUCUGGGAUUUUUGUCUUAGAGUAAAAUCCUUGGAAAAUCAUGGAAAGGAAGAAUAAAUGGAGCAGGAUUUAUUUAAACUGAGAAGAGAUAGAUACCUCCUGCCAUGUGGAAGGGGACCUGAGAGCAGAAAACCUCAUUUUGGUGUACCAGCUUAUGAGUUUAUAUAUGGUUCUGGGUCAGAGCAUGGAGCAAAAUCUAUGUAAAAUAGGUAUUGAAACAAGGUAUCCUGGCUACCAUCGUGCUGUCUAUAACCCAUCCUCCUUUUAGUAACUUCUAUCUGGGUUCAUCCCCACCUUCAGUUUUCCACCUCUGGGACAAAAGAGUUGGCUGGAGGUGUUCCCACAGGUGAGCCUCAAGGUCUUUUACACUUGAAAUAGGCCUUGAUAUGGUGCUCAUUAAUAAGUCUACUAGUUGGCCUCCAGGUGAUGUUGAAUGGGGCCCAUUAUCCUGACUGCCUGGUCAUUUUACUAUUUAUUCUUUUUUAUCCUCACUUGGAGAAACACUGGGAGAGUGAGCCCUUUGAUAGAAUUCUGGAGGAAUAUUCAUGGAAAACCAAAUCUCCCUCUGUGGGAGAAGUCUACCCAAGCACCGUAUUCAUGAAUCUCUGUGUUGCAAAUGGGGAGCAGCAGCAGUUUUCUUCUGUCUCCUGUGUGUAUUUCAUCAACAGGCCAGAAACAGAUCAGAAAGCCUCAAAACGCUGCCCAGUUUAGUCCUGCCUGUAAGGACUCCAGAUCAUGAAGCCAAGUUCAGCCUGACCAGAGCUGUACAGGAAGACCUGGUUUACAACACAGUGCUGAGCUUCUUGGGUAAAAAACGAGGCCCUUUCUUUUUCUCACACAUGGAUUUCUUAGGGGUGUGGGGAAGGCUCUCAGGAUUGAAUGUUUUCUAUCUGCCAUUUCUCUGCAGCUUGGCUAUUCCCUGCUGUUAUCUUUGGCUCUGUUGCUAUGGGCGGGAAUAUUUUUUGUCCUGGCUUAAUAACUGCUUGGCUGCCAGAGGCACUCAUUUCUCAUUGUAUUGGUGGAGGAUUAGCAGAGAAGUUUGGGAGAUAUUUCCUGUAUUAAGCAGCAGGGGAGAGCUUGCUGGGCCUGUGCCUUCUUUUGAAAUAGCGUCACACUCCCCCCCCCCCCCCCCCCAUACUUUCACCCUUGGAAUGUGCUGAGGCCAGUUAUUUGCAUCCAGGGCAGCUGCUCCUCCCUGACACUUUGCAGAUCUGCAUCCCUUUUCCAGGUGCCCUUGUAUAAACACUUCUUGGGGAGGCUAUAGUGAGUCCCAGACAAUCACCUCACUGGGAUUUUUCUUUUUUCUUUUAUAUUAUACAUUUUAUUAUUACACUUUUUUUUAACAUUUAGGGAUCAACAGUAUACUGCAUCACCACCUUAAUUGUCUUUAAACCUAUUUCAUACUUCAGAAUCUGUCAAAAUUGACUCAUGGCCCGUCUCUCAGAGCUACCACUUCCUCUACAGUUAAUUUAAACUGGGUGAUCCUUAGAUACAUGUUUAAAACUAUAAACUAAUGAUUUAAUAGAUUUUUGGUGCCCUUGUAUCUGUUAGGAUAAUUCUCAAAAGAUUGAGACAAGCUAUUUAGAAAAGUUACCAAAGAAGGACAAAAAUCUGAGAAGUUUUGGUUCUUGAGUGGAUUGAGAUAAGGAAAAAUAAAUGCUGAAACUGACUGAAAGUCAUUCUGAAGAGUUUGGUGUCAUCACACUGGAAGUGACACAGACUGAUCUCAGAGCAGGAAUCUCUGGAUUUGAAUUUUGAGCUAUGGCUUAAAAGCUCUGUGAACUUGGACAAGUCACUUUACCUCUCUUUUCUGUCAUUUUAUCAUCUGUGAUAUGGAGAUGACUAUGACCCAGAAAAUGUUGAAAGGGAUUAAGAUGAGAACACCUCAUGAACUAUAAAUAAAGAACUAGUAAGAUUAGAUGUAUAUGAAUACAUUUGCAAACUGCAAAGAACUGCACAAGUGUAAAUAACUAUAAACAGUGAAAACUUAAUAAAAAUUUUAAUAUACUUCAAAAGCUGAAAGAGCCAUUUCUCUUUAGGUGGGUAUCUAGCCUUCUUUUAAAAUAUGAUCAGAAUCCCCUUCCUAAAUCAAAGGAAUCCCUCACAGAAUGUGGCAGAGCCCACUUUUCACCUUUGGGCAUUUGUCCCCAGACCAGGGCAUGGACCUAGGGCAUGCUGAUCCAGAUUUGCCCAAAGAGACUGUCCCAAAUCCAUCCUGGCUGCAGGCUGACGGAGAGCCCACACUGUCUGGUGUCUGGACAUGACAGUGGUAGCAGAUGUACAGCUGGUUCUCUCUGUUCUCUCUCUCUGGUGUGGCUGCUGUAGUCCUUGGGUAGCACUCAUGCCUUCCAUCUGUGGACAGUUUGGGUACUAUUCCUGACUUUCUUCUUAUCUCAUCUGGCUUUGUAGACAACUCAGAGAUUCCCUGAGCUACUCGAUAUCCCUUUCUAGAGAACUUUACUAUGGGAAAUUUCAAACAUAAAAAACAUUGAAGGGAGUACCUUGAUGAGCCCCUUGGUAACUAUCAUCACCCAGUUAUCAACAUUUGGCACAUUAUGUCACCUGUUUUCAGCCCUUCCCAUCACAACUUAUUUUGUUUUAAUUUGCUUUGGUUGAAGUAUUUAAAAGUAAGCCCAAGAUAUACUGUUUCACCCCUAAACAUCUCAGUGCGCAUUUCUAACUGAUAAGGACUAUUUCUUAACAUAAUCAUCAUUCCAUUUUCCACCCAAUGGAAUUAACAGUAAUGCUGAUAUCUGGUUUUGCUCAGAUCAGCAAGAAAUGCUUUCUGUGCUCAUGAGAACUUAAUACACUCACUCCCUGCCCCAGUUCCACCAUAAAGCAGAAGCUUUACCCUCUGAAAAUAUUGACAAAAUGACUUCCACUGCUCUUUACCCUUCACUUUGUGAAGGAAUGACUUAUCUGAUGACUGAAUUGGGAAUAAUGAGCUAUACUGCAUGAGACUGUGUCUCUUAGGGAAUCUGUCUACAGAGGAGCUCUAUUCUGCCCAGCUCCAACUUCUGUUGGCUGAGCACGUGGUCUAGGCUUAGGCCCUCUUUGCAGUCAAAGUCUGAAGGCAUAUCUCUUUCUUACGGAGUGUAAGAAACUGAUUUCAGGCUAAUAUAUCUACUCUGUAAACACAAAUUGCCCCCACCUGACAUGUCCCAACAUGGGAUCUUAGAGGAAAGGGCUGAAAAGCUUGGUUUGGCCAUUUAUUUAUACUACACUCUCUAACUGUAUCAGCAAAACUGAUAUAUUCAUCUCUUCCUUUGUUUGAUUUAAGUUUUGGUCUCCAUUGUUCUAAGUGCAGUAAACAAUAAAGAAACAGGAAUAUUAUUUAUAAGCUGUUGAUUCUAACAUAUUUAAAUUAAUUAUAGAACCAUUAAUAUAAACCAAAAACACUACUAAGGACUUGUGACUCAAGAAUAUAGCAACAUUCCUGCCCCAAGGAGCCACUGAUAGGGUGAAAGGCCUGGAAAUCAUCAUAAAGCAGAGGUAACUCCUUGGGGUUUGGGAGCACAGAGUCCAAGAGGGGUCCUCAGAGCGGGCGGCUGGACAAGAAAGAUUUCCUCAGAAGGAGCGAGAUAGAGAAAAACUGUGUAUAAAAGCCAAGAGAGAGGGCUUGGUGGAGUUGAUAAGACAGACAAGGGUCAGGUACUAAAGAGGCACAUGUGUUCACCAAAGAAACAUGAACCCCAUUUUAAAAGUAAGAGGUGACAUUAAGGUUUACAAACAGUGGUAAUUUUUAAAAGCAGAAAUGUGGAGAAUGAAUUAUAGAGAGUAGGAGAAUACUCAGGAGCCUACUAACAACUGGCCAAGCUUCCCCAAGCACAAGGUUAAGGAUGGACUUGAGAUGUUCUGGUGAGUUAGUUUAAAGAAAGAAAAGAGAGAAAGAAGUUGUGUGUGAAUAUACAUAGAAUACAGUAAGGUUUUCUAUAGAAAAUUAGAAGUAGAAGAAAAAGUGAAAAUAAGGAUAAUAUAGGGACAAAAUGGAGCCAGGAGUGAGAUGAGCACAUUAGAGUGUGGUGUGUGUUUGUGUGUGUGUGAGUGUGUGUGUGUGUGUGUGUGUGUGUUGACAAGGACUGAUGAGGGACGAGGGAGACAAUAACAGAUUUCUUGGUGUUGCAAUAAACACCAACAGGGAAAAAUCCUUUACAUACAUACACCAUAAUGCCUAGGAGAUAAAAGUAAACCAAUGUUUUAGGAAAAUAAGUGUCACUAAAUCAAAAGCCAAACAAAUUUCUGCUGCGAGUCCUUACAAGGAGGACACAAGUAAUGCAAAUAAUAAUAUCUUUCUUCAUACUCUUAUCGUAAACACAGUCAUCUUCACUAUCCAAUCUGACUUUUUCUUCAGUAAACUGAAGAAAAGCCUUAUUCAAAUCAUAGCACCCCACAUCCCCCAUGGCAUGCAGGGAUUUUUGAACUACUCCAUGACCCACAGUAAACUGAAGAAAAAGUCAGGGCUAAGCAAUGGCAGCUGCAGCAGAAAUGAAAUCCAGUACCUCAGCAUGUGAGGAAGGCCCAGCUUCUGCAGUGUAUUCUUGUUCUUGUCUUCCUCACAAAUUCUCUCCUAUCUGAGCAGUGGAGAUUAGGGGAAACACUUAAACUGCCAAUUAAGGGUUUUGUUUUGUUUUUUAUUAACUGCUUUAUUGGGAUAUGAUCCACAUGCCAUACAAUUCCCCUAAGGUACUCAAUAUUUAUUAAAUAUAUUCACAGAGUCAAGGUCACCACUCUCAAGUUUACAACAGUUUCAUCACCUGAUCAAGAAUCCCUCUACAUAUUAGCAGUUAAGUACACUGCUUUUCCUCCUUCUUCCAACCCUAUUUCUAUAAAUUUGCCUAUUCUGGUCAUUUUAUGUAUAUUGGCUCAUACAAUAUGUAUGGGUUUUAAUGACUUUCUUCUUCAAUUUGACCUUUCAGAUAAAGGCGCAGCUUUUCGUGUUUCCUUUCAUCACUUUGCCUCUCCCAAGAAGGUGUCAGAGUGGAUCGAUGCCUCUGGAUUGGUGCU
rnacentral:lncRNA from 1 species